rnacentral:rRNA from 1 species
GAUGAACGCUGGCGGCGUGCUUAACACAUGCAAGUCGAACGGUGAAGGCGGAGCUUGCUCUGCUGGAUCAGUGGCGAACGGGUGAGUAACACGUGAGCAAUCUGCCCCUGACUCUGGGAUAAGCGCUGGAAACGGCGUCUAAUACUGGAUACGAGCUGCGAAGGCAUCUUCAGCAGCUGGAAAGAACUUCGGUCAGGGAUGAGCUCGCGGCCUAUCAGCUUGUUGGUGAGGUAACGGCUAACCAAGGCGUCGACGGGUAGCCGGCCUGAGAGGGUGACCGGCCACACUGGGACUGGGACACGGCCCAGACUCAUACGGGAGGCAGCAGGGGAGAAUAUUGGACAAUGGGCGAAAGCCUGAUGCAGGAACGCCGCGUGAGGAACGACGGCCUUCGGGUAGUAAACCUCUUUUAGCAGGGAAGAAGCGAAAGUGACGGUACCUGCAGAAAAAGCGCCGGCUAACUACGU